rnacentral:lncRNA from 1 species
CCGGGCACUGUCCAGUGGCGGUGCUGGGGCGGGGAGCCAGGAUACCCCAGACCCAGCCUCGAGUCUGUUCUUGGCCUGUGUUGGCAGCUUCUGCAUGCUGGGCCCUGGGCUGGGCGUGGGGUCCAGCGAGAACAGGACGUGGGAUCUCCCAGAUGCCUGCUCACAGGGAUCCUCUGCGCUGGCCUGUGUGUGGGCAGAGGGGCAGCUGAUAAAGGGAAAGCCACUGCCAGUCAUCACCGUCUUGCAAAGUCAACUAGUGCGAGCUGGAGACAGUGACCUUGAGGCGGUCAUCGGGACAGAGUCUCUGAGAACAUGCUUUGAGCAGCUGAAUGUCAAGAACAUGAUGAGAUAAAGGGGAAGCGGAGGGGUUCCGGGCUGGCUGUGCAGGUAAGGGUGAAGGGCUGGGCUAGGGCAGGAGCUGGGGACGGGAGUGGGUGGACCCCGAGCUGGGAGGCAGGGCUGGGGGACAGUGAGGGCCAGAGAGGAAGGAAGAGAGUGCUCAGAGCUGCAAGGACGCCUGAGGGGAGGGCGAGCCAUCCACUGUGGGGACGCACAGGGGAGGCCCAAGGCCAGAGUAGGAGGUCUGUUGGGCCCACAGGGGAUUCAGGCUUGGCCUGGGCAUCAGGCGGGAGCUUUGGAUUGGGAGCGGGUGUCCUCGGGGAGGUGAGAGGGCAGGGAGUUGGGCACAGAGAGGAAGCUGUGGGCUGAGGGGUGAUUCUAUGGUGGGCCAGUGGAAGGGGACCAGGAGGACCCCAUGGCCCAGGUACCUGGGGACAGGAAGAGGAGGGGACCCAGACAGAAGCCAGGAACUGAGAAGAAAGAGGGGAUGGACCCAUGGGGUGCUCACAGCAGGCCAGGGACAGAGGGGCCACCUUGGCCUUCACAGACACGGGGAGCCAGGGAAGUGGCUCCUGGACAGAGGGCCAGGGAGGGGGACAGUGGACAGUGCUGGGCCCUCACCCACCCCCAGGCCUGCCCAGGCUCAUGCUGUCUGCCUCCAGCAUCUCUGCUCAGGGCCCCAGGAGCCAGCAGGGCUUGGGGACAGGGUGACUGGUCUCCAUCAACCAAGGGGACAUGGGGCCUGCUGACAAGCACCCCCUGCCCCUCCUUGGGGCAAUUUGGGCACAAAGUUCUACAAGGUUCCUGGAGGGUCCCCAGCAUGCAGAGCCCAGUCACCUAUGGCUGGCUCCUGUCCCUGCCCUCUGGGGACUCCUGGCCUCACCUGGCCUCAUGCCCCUCCUUACUUACGCGUCCUUGUCUCAAGGACAGAGGAAAGUCCAAAGCCAGCCCCACCCAGGGAGGGUCCACCGCCACCAAGCUCCAAAGAGAAACUGUUCCCCCAUGGGGCUGGUGAAAGCUAGAGUCCAGCGGGACCUGGUCAGAGGGCACCCCACCUGCUGCGCGGAGAGGCUCUGGCAAAGGGCUGAGGGCCUGGGAG